AGUGAACGCUGGCGGCGUGCCUAACACAUGCAAGUCGAACGAUGAUGGAGAGCUUGCUCUCCUGAUUAGUGGCGCACGGGUGAGUAUACCAUAGAUAAUGUACCUCUUAGUUCGGGAUAGCCACUGGAAACGGUGAUUAAUACCGGAUACUCCUUCUUGUCUUAAGGCGAGUCGGGAAAGUUUUUUCGCUAAGAGAUCAGUCUAUGUCCUAUCAGCUAGUUGGUGAGGUAAUGGCUCACCAAGGCUAUGACGGGUAUCUGGUUUGAGAGGAUGAUCAGACACACUGGAACUGAGACACGGUCCAGACUCCUACGGGAGGCAGCAGUGAGGAAUAUUGCACAAUGGAGGAAACUCUGAUGCAGCAACGCCGCGUGGAGGAUGACGCAUUUCGGUGUGUAAACUCCUUUUAAGAGGGAAGAUUAUGACGGUACCUCUUGAAUAAGCACCGGCUAACUCCGUGCCAGCAGCCGCAGUAA
rnacentral:rRNA from 1 species